rnacentral:rRNA from 1 species
CACGUAGGGGGCGAGCGUUGUCCGGAUUUAUUGGGCGUAAAGAGCUCGUAGGCGGUGUGUCACGUCGGCCGUGAAAACCUGCAGCUUAACUGUGGGCGUGCGGUCGAUACGGGCAUCACUGGAGUUCGGCAGGGGAGACUGGAAUUCCUGGUGUAGCGGUGAAAUGCGCAGAUAUCAGGAGGAACACCGGUGGCGAAGGCGGGUCUCUGGGCCGAUACUGACGCUGAGGAGCGAAAGCGUGGGGAGCGAACAGG